rnacentral:lncRNA from 1 species
CUGCCUUGGCUUCCCGGAAUGUUAUGAUUACAGGCGUGAGCCACCUGGCCUGGCCCCGUCUUGAUAAAUUGGCUUUGUCUAGGCAGUGGACAAGGAGAACUCCACUGGGUGGUUGCAAAUCUGGGGAGUCAUCCGGGACCAUCCUUGUGGAUACCUGCCUGACGUUUGUUAGCCCUCCACCAGCGAUGGAUCUGGAGGCCCGCCCAAGUGGCAAUUUAGUUCUUGGACUGGGGGCUAACUGUAGCACCGUCUCUACCAGCAGGGUGUUGCCAACUCAUGGUGCAUGGAUUCAAAUGCAAUAAACAGUCCUGGGGAGAUGUCCCGCUCCUGUAGCCCCAUCAUGGGUGUCUGAUUUGGGUGUUGCCAACUCAUGGUGCAUGGAUUCAAAUGCAAUAAACAGUCCUGGGGAGAUGUCCCGCUCCUGUAGCCCCAUCAUGGGUGUCUGAUUUGGUGAGUAUUCUAGGUGCUUCCAACAACCUCAUCCUUCUGACCUGCUGGCCUCUCUGAAGGGGGUGUCUGCUCUAACUGGAUCAAGAAUAGGGGACUUGUUUGGAGGAACAUUCUUGGUUUGUGAUUUGGUCUGGAGUCUCUGUCUGCAAGUCCUUCUGCUUGUCUUUUUCACUUGAGUGUUUGUGUAUGUACAGGAAUUGCUGAUGGAAGUCCAACAGGCUCUCCUAGUUUGUCUGGUCUGUCACAUUUGCUGAACCCUGAAGGAACUGUUAGCGGAAGCGCAACAGGCCUGACUCGUGGUGAUUUUCCAUUGUUCUGGAAGCUGCAGGGAAAGGGAACCCAGAAAUCUGGUAUGCCAGCAAAGAGAGUAAGAACUUCUGACAAGCCAGGCUUCUGGUCUCUCUCUCUCUGUCUCUCUCUCACUCUCUCUCUCUGUGAAUGGUAAACAUCAUUGUUUGUCUCCUCUGCAAGGGUUUGAUUAAUUGAAAAAGGGAUUUAUAACUGGGCACAGUGGCUGUAAUUCCAGCACUUUGGGAGGUCGA